GACGAACCGUGCGAACGUUGUUUGGAAUCACUGGGCUUAAAGGGCGCGUAGGCGGGCUGUCCAGUCUGGGGUGAAAUCCCGCGGCUCAACCGUGGAACUGCCUCAGAUACUGACGGCCUCGAGGGAGAUAGGGGCAUGCGGAACUGUAGGUGGAGCGGUGAAAUGCGUUGAUAUCUACAGGAACUCCGGUGGCGAAGGCGGCGUGCUGGAUCUCUUCUGACGCUGAGGCGCGAAAGCUAGGGGAGCAAACGGG
rnacentral:rRNA from 1 species